GCCUCUUGGGAAAUGUAGUCAUUGUGUUUGAAAGUUUCAUAGGGCCUGGGUCACUAAAUUACUACACCGUGCUGCUUCGGGAACACCAGCGUUUGUUCAAAAUUGAAUUCUAGUGUUUGGACUGGAAGUUCAAAGUAGCUUGGCUUAAGUGAAGAAAGUGCAGAUUUCAAAACCAGAAAGAUCUCUGUUUGAGUGAGCUCUAGAGAAGGUGCCUACCAGCGCUGGUGUCUGGAGUUUCUUCACCCCCAAGUUCUCUAUUCUAAUGAAACCACAGGUCUCGGCAAGCUAACCUGGAACCUGCAGUGACGUCUGAAAGCUACUAUAAAGAGGUACUUAGUGUCCCAACUGUGGAGCACAUCAUUCAAGGGCUAAAGGAUAUCUUCGCUGAACAGCACCUCAAAGCACUGAAAUGUUUGUCUUUAGUACCCUCUGUCAUGGGACAGCUGAAAUUUAAUAUAUCAGAGGAACACCAUGCUGAUAUGUACAAAAGUGACCUUCCUGAUCCAGACACUCUUUCUGUAGAACUCCAUUGUUGGAGAAUCAAAUGGAAACACAGAGAAAAAGAUAUCGAGCUUCCAGCACCAAUUUAUGAAGCCCUGCAUCUGCCAGACAUCAAAUUUUUUCCUAAUGUUUAUGCAUUGCUUAAAGCCCUCUGCAUACUCCCAGUGAUGAAGGUUGAGAAUGAGAGGUAUGAAAAUGGUCAAAAACAUCUUAAGGUAUACCUGAGGGAUACUUUGACAGCUCACCGAUCGAGUAACUUGGCUUUGCUUAACAUAAACUUUGAUAUAAAACAUGACUUAGAUUUAGUGGUGGAUACUUACAUCAAACUCUACACAAGUAAAUUGGACCUCCAAGAAGAAGUUCUUCCCACAAGUAAUUCAGAGAUAACUGAAAAUACUUAAGGAAAUUGAACAAAAUGGGUUUUCUCCCUGAAUUUACAUAUUGGAGAUUGAGAGAGAAGUCCUGAGAUUAUUGACAGGCCACUUAAUCAUUGAAGAUGUUUGUCUUUGGGUCCCCAUUUGGAUACGUUAGCCACUGUUAAUAUCUAUGCUAAACUGCUGUUCUAUGAACUGAAAUUCUUUGAAAAUUGACUUUCCAAAAUGUAGAAAUACAACAUUGCAUUUCUUUGUGAUUUCUGCUGGUAGUUACCGCUCUGGCUAUAUUUUUAGUUAACUUCAUUCUGUACAUAAAAUUUGUGAUUACCAGGGAUCCAACUACCAGGUUUUGGAUUUCUUAGUUAUUGUUAAAAAAAAAAGUAUUGGGAGGAGAAGUGGGGAAAAUUUUUAGUUAAAAUGAAGCUCACUACUGACCACUGACUCCUAUGUGUUUUUUUUAAAAAUGUGGUAACAUUGACAGUAAAAAGAUAUAUUAGAGAAGAGUUUAUCUCAAACCAUGACCUCAUACACAUUUUCAUGUUGACUCUGACUUCAUCAAGUGAAUGUAAAUGAAUGAGUCCACUUAACAUUUAAGUGACAGAGCCAAUGUUGUUCGUCAUAAAUGAAUGAUUGUUGUGGUUUACAUUCCUCUGUUGGGGCUCCACAAUAACUGUUUUAUGAACUUUUCACAAGUAUACAUCAAACAUUCUGUUCUAUGAACUGGAAGCCAAUCUCACAAACAUAAAAAAAAAAACCCCAAAACUGAUCUUGUUUGUGUUUAUUCUGCCUUUUUCCUUGCCUCAUCUUGACUUGUAAACCUAGCCUGGAGAACUUGCAAAUUAGGAUUUUGUGGUUUAUCUAGGAUUGAGUAAAGAGGAAAAUAUUACUGUUAUUUUUGGUGAGAAAAACAAUUUUUGUAUAGUUUAUUUUAUUCUAAAUAAAAUGUGGAUUUUCUUUAAAAAAUAAUAUGUACUCCUUAAGGAUAUAUUGCCUAGUAGAGGAAUUGUUGGGUCAAAGGAUAUGAGCCAGUUUAAUUACUUUUCUUGCAUAAUUCCAAAUUGAAAGUCAGAAUAGUUGAACCAUUCCACAGAUCCACCAAUUAGAGUGUGUACCUUUCUUCCCACAGUUUCACCAGCAUCAACUGUUUCCGUUUUUAUUUUUACGAAAAGUUGAAUGAAAUAAAGUAAAAUCCUCAAUUGUUUUAAUUUGUACUUCUCUUACAAUUAGAUAUUUGGAGCAGGUUUUUCAUGAGGUCAUUUAUAGUUUGCAAAUCUUCUUUUAAAAACUGUUCAUACAUCUCUGAAGGCCUCAUGAUGGAAAGUGCUAUCCACAUCCAA